GAUGAACGCUGGCGGCGUGCCUAAUACAUGCAAGUCGAGCGAACAGAUGAGGAGCUUGCUCCUCUGACGUUAGCGGCGGACGGGUGAGUAACACGUGGAUAACCUACCUAUAAGACUGGGAUAACUUCGGGAAACCGGAGCUAAUACCGGAUAAUAUAUUGAACCGCAUGGUUCAAUAGUGAAAGACGGUUUUGCUGUCACUUAUAGAUUGAUCCGCGCCGCAUUAGCUAGUUGGUAAGGUAACUGCUUACCAAGGCAACGAUGCGUAGCCGACCUCAGCGGGUCGUCGGCUACACUGGAACUGAGACACGGUCCAGACUCCUGCGGGAGGCAGCAGUAGGGAAUCUUCCGCGAGGGGCGAAAGCCUGACGGUGCAACGCCGCGUGAGUGAUGAAGGUCUUCGGAUCGUAAAACUCUGUUAUUAGGGAAGAACAAAUGUGUAAGUAACUAUGCACGUCUUGACGGUACCGAAUCAGAAAGCCACGGCUAACUACGUG
rnacentral:rRNA from 1 species